rnacentral:rRNA from 1 species
UACGGGGGGGGCAAGCGUUGUUCGGAAUUACUGGGCGUAAAGGGCGCGUAGGCGGAUAGUACAGUCAGGCGUGAAAUUCCUGGGCUCAACCUGGGGGCUGCGUUUGAUACGUGUUGUCUGGAGUUCGGAAGAGGGUCGUGGAAUUCCCAGUGUAGAGGUGAAAUUCGUAGAUAUUGGGAAGAACACCGGUGGCGAAGGCGGCGACCUGGUCCGAUACUGACGCUGAGGCGCGAAAGCGUGGGGAGCAAACAGG